AUUGAACGCUGGCGGCAGGCCUAACACAUGCAAGUCGAACGAGUGGCGGACGGGUGAGUAAUGUCUGGGAAACCCCCCGAUGUAGGGGGAUAACUCCUGGAAACGGUAUCUAAUACCGCACAUCAUCGGAUGUGCCCAGAUGGGAUUAGCUUGUAGGUGAGGUAACGGCUCACCUAUGCGACGAUCCCUAGCUGGUCUGUGAGGAUGACCAGCCACACUGGAACUGAGACACGGUCCAGACUCCUACGGGAGGCAGCAGUGGGGAAUAUUGCACAAUGGGCGCAAGCCUGAUACAGCCAUGCCGCGUGUGUGAAGAAGGCCUUCGGGUUGUAAAGUACUUUCAGCGAGGAGGCGUUACCCGCAGAAGAAGCACCGGCUAACUCCGUGCCAGCAGCCGCGGUAAUUC
rnacentral:rRNA from 1 species